GACGAACGCUGGCGGCGUGCCUAAUACAUGCAAGUAGAACGCUGAAGGAGGAGCUUGCUUCUCUGGAUGAGUUGCGAACGGGUGAGUAACGCGUAGGUAACCUGCCUGGUAGCGGGGGAUAACUAUUGGAAACGAUAGCUAAUACCGCAUAAUAGCAGUUGUUGCAUGACAACUGUUUGAAAGGUGCAAUUGCACCACUACCAGAUGGACCUGCGUUGUAUUAGCUAGUUGGUGGGGUAACGGCUCACCAAGGCGACGAUACAUAGCCGACCUGAGAGGGUGAUCGGCCACACUGGGACUGAGACACGGCCCAGACUCCUACGGGAGGCAGCAGUAGGGAAUCUUCGGCAAUGGACGGAAGUCCGACCGAGCAACGCCGCGUGAGUGAAGAAGGUUUUCGGAUCGUAAAGCUCUGUUGUAAGAGAAGAACGAGUGUGAGAGUGGAAAGUUCACACUGUGACGGUAGCUUACCAGAAAGGGACGGCUAACUACGUG
rnacentral:rRNA from 1 species